GUGAAUCAAAAUUGUGGAACUGCAUAUGUGCUGCCAACUUUAGUCACUCCACUCCGAAUUUGAAGCUCUUACUCUCGACUAGAUGCAGAAACUGAAGAUGGCGUUUUGAGAAUGGCUCAGUUCUGUGAUUCAGGGAUUCAUGUACAUCUCAAGAAGAAAACAUUAAGCUAUAACUCUUAUGAAGGCUCGGGUAUGGUAACAUAGAAGAUGGGAAGAUUCAGCCCUUACACGUUCACUAGAAGCUGCUCCUGUGAGAGGUGGAUGGAUGUUAGAGAUGAAGACCAGGACGUGAGGUACGCUCUUAGAGGAGGCCCUGGUAGAACUAGCAGCUCUAAGAUUUCGUUUACCUCGACACUGUGAAUUCUCAGGUUUGAAUCACACAAUCUAUAGAGACAUAGAAUCAACUAAGUGAA